rnacentral:rRNA from 1 species
GACGAACGCUGGCGGCGUGCCUAAUACAUGCAAGUAGAACGCUGAAGGAGGAGCUUGCUUCUCUGGAUGAGUUGCGAACGGGUGAGUAACGCGUAGGUAACCUGCCUGGUAGCGGGGGAUAACUAUUGGAAACGAUAGCUAAUACCGCAUAAUAGUAGAUGUUGCAUGACAUUUGCUUAAAAGGUGCAAUUGCAUCACUACCAGAUGGACCUGCGUUGUAUUAGCUAGUUGGUGGGGUAACGGCUCACCAAGGCGACGAUACAUAGCCGACCUGAGAGGGUGAUCGGCCACACUGGGACUGAGACACGGCCCAGACUCCUACGGGAGGCAGCAGUAGGGAAUCUGCGGCAAUGGACGGAAGUCUGACCGAGCAACGCCGCGUGAGUGAAGAAGGUUUUCGGAUCGUAAAGCUCUGUUGUAAGAGAAGAACGAGUGUGAGAGUGGAAAGUUCACACUGUGACGGUAUCUUACCAGAAAGAGACGGCUAACUACGUG